UUGACUAGGCAGGUCUGAAAAGCUCCAGCAAAAUCGAAACUGUGAGAAAACAAGAAGAGGGGAGCCAUGGAGAUGCAAGAGAUCCCCAAAGAGACAGAAAAAGGCAAAGAAGGGGAUGAAGGACCGAGCGAACCGAUGCUGGAGGUGAAAAAAGAAGAGGAAGCAGAACAAGACCACUACGCCAAACUGCAAAUUUCAUCUGAGGAUGUCUAUUCAGAAGCUUUUUCUGCGGCUGGUGCAGGAAAACAAACACUGGG